AGAUUGAACGCUGGCGGCAGGCCUAACACAUGCAAGUCGAGCGGUAGAGAGGUGCUUGCACCUCUUGAGAGCGGCGGACGGGUGAGUAAUGCCUAGGAAUCUGCCUAGUGGUGGGGGAUAACGUUCGGAAACGGACGCUAAUACCGCAUACGUCCUACGGGAGAAAGCGGGGGACCUUCGGGCCUCGCGCCAUUAGAUGAGCCUAGGUCGGAUUAGCUAGUUGGUGAGGUAAUGGCUCACCAAGGCGACGAUCCGUAACUGGUCUGAGAGGAUGAUCAGUCACACUGGAACUGAGACACGGUCCAGACUCCUACGGGAGGCAGCAGUGGGAAUAUGGACAAUGGGCGAAAGCCUGAUCCAGCCAUGCCGCGUGUGUGAAGAGGUCUUCGGAUUGAAAGUCUAACGUUUAAGUGGGAAGGUAAGGUUUGUAAACUUUAAGUACGUUAGACUAACUUUGAACGUUACCGACAAGUAAGUAACG
rnacentral:rRNA from 1 species